AGUGAACGCUGGUGGUAGGCCUAACACAUGCAAGUCGAACGGCAGCACAGUAAGAGCUUGCUCUUACGGGUGGCGAGUGGCGGACGGGUGAGGAAUACAUCGGAAUCUACUUUUUCGUGGGGGAUAACGUAGGGAAACUUACGCUAAUACCGCAUACGACCUACGGGUGAAAGCAGGGGAUCUUCGGACCUUGCGCGAUUGAAUGAGCCGCUGUCGGAUUAGCUAGUUGGCGGGGUAAAGGCCCACCAAGGCGACGAUCCGUAGCUGGUCUGAGAGGAGGAUCAGCCACACGGGAACUGAGACACGGUCCAGAGUCCUACGGGAGGGAGCAGUGGGGAAUAUUGGACAAUGGGCGGAAGUCUGAUCCAGCCAUACCGCGUGGGUGAAGAAGGCGUUCGGGUUGUAAAGCCCUUUUGUUGGGAAAGAAAAGCAGCAGGUUAAUACCCCGCUGUUCUGACGGUACCCAAAGAAUAAGCACCGGCUAACUUCGUG
rnacentral:rRNA from 1 species